rnacentral:rRNA from 1 species
UACGAAGGGGGCUAGCGUUGUUCGGAAUUACUGGGCGUAAAGCGUACGUAGGCGGAUUGUUAAGUGAGGGGUGAAAUCCCGAGGCUCAACCUCGGAACUGCCUUUGAUACUGGAGAUCUUGAGUCCGGAAGAGGUAAGUGGAACUGCGAGUGUAGAGGUGAAAUUCGUAGAUAUUCGCAAGAACACCAGUGGCGAAGGCGGCUUACUGGUCCGGAACUGACGCUGAGGUGCGAAAGCGUGGGGAGCAAACAGG